UACGUAGGGGGCGAGCGUUGUCCGGAUUCAUUGGGCGUAAAGCGCUUUAAGGCGGUUCGGUAAGUCGGGUGUGAAACCUCCAGGCUCAACCUGGAGACGCCACUCGAUACUGCUGUGACUAGAGUUCGGUAGGGGAUCACGGAAUUCCUGGUGUAGCGGUGGAAUGCGCAGAUAUCAGGAGGAACACCGAUGGCGAAGGCAGGUCACUGGGCCGCAACUGACGCUGAGGAGCGAAAGCAUGGGGAGCGAACAGG
rnacentral:rRNA from 1 species